rnacentral:rRNA from 1 species
UUCUGGUUGAUCCUGCCGAAGGCGACCGCUAUUGGAGUUCGAUUAAGCCAUGCGAGUCGAGAGUCUUAGGGACUCGGCAUACUGCUCAGUAACACGUGGAUAACCUGCCCUAUGCAAGGGGAUAACCUCGAGAAAUUGAGAAUAAUACCCUAUAGGUCACCAUGCCUGGAACGGUUGGUGACUAAAAGUUCAGGCGGCAUAGGAUGGGUCUGCGGCGUAUCAGGUUGUAGUGGGUGUAAUGUACCUACUAGCCAUUGACGCGUACGGGUGUUGGGAGACAUAGCCCGGAGAUGGAUUCUGAGACACGAAUCCAGACCCUACGGGGUGCAGCAGGCGCGAAAACUUCACACUGCAGGAAACUGUGAUGAGGGAACUCCAAGUGGUGCGGCAAAAUGUCGCAUCUUUUCUUAACUUUUAACAGGUUUUGGAAUAAGGGCUGGGAAAGACCGGUGCCAGCCGCCGCGGUAAUACCGGCAGCUCAAGUGGUCGUCGCUUUUAUUGGGCCUAAAACGUCCGUAGCCUGUUUAGUAAAUCCGUGGGUAAAUCAACGAGCUUAACUCGUUGACUUCUGCGGACACUGCUAGACUUGGGACCGGGAGAGGUGUGGGGUACUCAUGGGGUAGGGGUAAAAUCCUGUCAUCCCAUGAGGACCACCAGUUGCGAAGGCGCCACACUAGAACGGAUCCGACGGUCAGGGACGAAGCCUAGGGGCACGAACCGGAUUAGAUACCCGGGUAGUCCUAGGUGUAAACGCUGUGGACUUGGUGUCGGGGAUCCUCUAAGGGUUCUCGGUGCCGCAGCGAAGGUGUUAAGUCCACUGCCUGGGGAGUACGGUCGCAAGGCUGAAACUUAAAGGAAUUGGCGGGGGAGCACUGCAACGGGAGGAGCGUGCGGUUUAAUUGGACUCAACGCCGGGA